CGGGACGGGUGAGUAAUGUCUGGGAAACUGCCUGAUGGAGGGGGGUAACUACUGGAAACGGUAGCUAAUACCGCAUAACGUCGCAAGACCAAAGAGGGGGACCUUCGGGCCUCUUGCCAUCGGAUGUGCCCAGAUGGGAUUAGCUGGUAGGUGGGGUAACGGCUCACCUAGGCGACGAUCCCUAGCUGGUCUGAGAGGAUGACCAGCCACACUGGAACUGAGACACGGUCCAG
rnacentral:rRNA from 1 species